rnacentral:rRNA from 1 species
CCACCCCUUGCCAACACAGCCUACAUACCGCCGUCGCCAGCUCACCUCUAAUGAAAGAACAACAGUGAGCCCAACAGUCCCCACUAGCAAGACAGGUCAAGGUAUAGCCCAUGGGGUGGAAGAAAUGGGCUACAUUUUCUAGCAUAGAACAUAACGGAAAAGAGCGUGAAACUCGCCCUUAGAAGGAGGAUUUAGCAGUAAAGUAGGACCACACUCCCCUUCAAGCCUUCUUAAAGACGGCUCUGAGGCACGUACACACCGC